rnacentral:misc_RNA from 1 species
UGAUUAUAUCAAGGGGAGUAGCGACCGUAUCAUACGGUUGAUGGAUCGUCAUUUCAGUGUGCACACACUCGGUUCAUCAAACUAUAACCAUAGUACGCAAGACCUUGGCCACUCUA